rnacentral:rRNA from 1 species
GACGAACCGUGCGACCGUUAUUCGGAAUCACUGGGCUUAAAGCGCGUGUAGGCGGGUCGGCGCGUCGGACGCUGAAAUCCCCCGGCUCAACCGGGGAAGGGGCGCCGAUACGGCCGGCCUGGAGGGACGUAGGGGGGGCUGGAACUUCCGGUGGAGCGGUGAAAUGCGUUGAGAUCGGAAGGAACGCCCGUGGCGAAAGCGAGCCCCUGGACGUCUACUGACGCUGAGACGCGAAAGCCAGGGGAGCGAACGGG